ensembl:lncRNA
CAAAUGUACGUCCAAUGACUAAUGUGAGAAAAUGCUGAUUUUAUGUCACUAAUGUUUUCCCAUAUUUGUGUCACUAUACUGAGAAAGCAUGGCAGCUAAGCUCAAGAAAUCCUACACACAUGCUCUAUUACAGUAUAUCGUGCACUAAUGAUCUUUCAGGAAUGAUCUCUUACAGGGAGAAGUCAACAAACAGCCUCCCAUUGACUUCAGUGGACUUCGGAUCAGUCCCAUGGGAUUUAUCUUCAGAGACGUGCUGGAAUUCAUCUCACCUAAUUGCUUUAACAAAAUCCAGACUGCUUUUUCAGGAAAGGAGAAACUUGAGAGCAAACACUCUGGGAAUCCAAGAGAGUUCCAGCAAUGAAAAUAAACGCUUCAAGCAUCUUAAUGGCACCUUGAAAGUGGAGGGGAAAAGAAAGUCUUUAGCUGGAAUGAUACCCCCCCAAACAUUUAAUCCUGAGGACCCUUUCUGAGGAUUUCUAAUGGAGGAAACUGAGAAGG